UACGUAGGGUCCGAGCGUUGUCCGGAAUUAUUGGGCGUAAAGGGCUCGUAGGCGGUCUGUUGCGUCGGGAGUGAAAACUUACAGCUUAACUGUGAGCGUGCUUUCGAUACGGGCAGACUUGAGGCAUUCAGGGGAGAACGGAAUUCCUGGUGUAGCGGUGAAAUGCGCAGAUAUCAGGAGGAACACCGGUGGCGAAAGCGGCUCACUGGACCACAACUGACGCUGAUGCACGAAAGCUAGGGGAGCAAACAGG
rnacentral:rRNA from 1 species